rnacentral:rRNA from 1 species
GAUGAACGCUGGCGGCGUGCUUAACACAUGCAAGUCGAACGGACGGAUUGGAGCUUGCUCCAUGAAGUUAGUGGCGGACGGGUGAGUAACGCGUGGGUAACCUGCCCUAUGCAGGGGGAUAACGUUUGGAAACGAACGCUAAUACCGCAUAAUCUAGUUAGUUCGCAUGAACUGAUUAGCAAAGAUUUUAUCGGCAUAGGAUGGACCCGCGUUAGAUUAGCUAGUUGGUGAGAUAACAGCCCACCAAGGCAACGAUCUAUAGCCGGCCUGAGAGGGUGAACGGCCACACUGGGACUGAGACACGGCCCAGACUCCUACGGGAGGCAGCAGUGGGGAAUAUUGCACAAUGGGCGCAAGCCUGAUGCAGCGACGCCGCGCGAAGGAUGAAGGUCUUCGGAUCGUAAACUUCUAUCAGCAGGGAAGAAACCAUGACGGUACCUGACUAAGAAGCCCCGGCUAACUACGUGCCAGCCGCCGCAGUAAUAC